GCAUCACAUGGACAUCAUUAAACGCACGAAGAAGAAUCAUUCAGCUGUGAUUGGUUAGAAUCAUCCAAUGAGUGCGAAGUGUUCUGACAUUUAAAGAACCGGGGUGGCGCUCCAGCCUGUGGUUGUAAAUUCAUGACAUUCCGAUGUUUGUUCAAAAAAAAUGGUCGUCACCAGUUGAAGAGUUUGUUUUAAAAGACUCACAAAUAAAGGAAAAAGGUUUGGAGACUUUUCCCAGAGACAACGCUCCCUUCAGCAGUGGCUGUUGAGUUAGGCUGCAUGCACAGAGAGGCUGAGAGGACACCUGAAAAAAUGUCUGCUUGGCAAUCAGUGCGCGGCUUGGAUGCAUUGCUGGAAGAGGAAUGCUUGCCAGAAGUUACGCUCCUUGAUGAUACAUGUGACUCAUUUCUUUCUGGUAGCAUGCCAGCUACUCCUGUGACCGCUGGGUCUUUGAAAAGCUGGAUUACUUCUCUCCAGCUUUUCCAACUGACUUCAUCCCCAAAUUCAAACACCAAGACUGAAAUAAUCCGCCCUCUGAAUAAGAGCAUGGACAGAUACUUCCCAGAUAUUACUCUUCUUGAUGUUACGCGGGAUUCUGAGCUAUCACAAGUAGAGGACUUAUCCUCCACGGACGUGACACAGGAUAAAACACCAGUGGCUAAUCUGGAAAGCAACCAGCCUCCCUCAGAGUUCAGCGAACAAAGUGGGACAGAGCCUGACAGGUCGUAUAUGGUUCCAAGAGAAGAAUUGCCAAGUACUAGUACUAUUACUGGACAUGUCACCCACACCACAAUCUCCUUUAGCGAAAAAUCUGAUAAAAGUGUGGGGGGAAACAGAACGCAAACAUCUCUGGAAGUAACGCAGGAUAUUUCUUCAAGCAGUGUUUUUGAAAACAGUAGGCCCUCAUUGGAGCCCAUCGGAUCAAACAUGGUGAAGAUUGAAACAUCAGCUGAAAAAACAUUUGGCACCCAUCCUGCUAAUGUCACACAUGACUUAAGCUCCUCGAGUGACAUGUCUGCUCAGUGUGCUGCAUCACAGCUCUCUACCUCUGAUGGGAAAUGCAACACUAGUUUAAAGAACGUCACCUCUGAGCUUCAUGUUGAACCUGUGCUUGACUGUAAUUCUGUGGAAGCCAAUGACAAGUCACUUACCAACCAUGAUGCUGAAGUGACGACCAAGGAGACACAACCAAGCCCAAAAACAUCUGGGUCUGCUAACGGCACGUUUACCUCCCUCCAGCCCUCGCAAUCGAGUUCCUCUAUGGAUCUAAACGCCACUGCCGAAAUAACUAGCCCUCAGAACAAGACUCUGGAUCUCCCUCCAUCUGAUGUAAACAGCUGCAAAGCGAAGAGUCAGGUUACAGUAGACGCUACUUCAGUCAUUAACAACACCAUCGAAGGUUCCCAGAAUCCAAAUUAUUCCGCUGUAAAUGCCAGUGGUCCCGGUAACAUGGUGAACGUCACUUUUCCCCGACAUUCUCUUAAAACAUCAAGUGCCGGUACCAUUUUAGUGGAAUCUGGUGCAGGAACAUUUUGCCUCGAAAACAAUACUUUCGAUGCUAAACUUCUCCCUAAGCAGAACGGCACAAUGACUUUGUCAGAAUCAGGCCCACGUGACAGUCACCAGAGUACUUUUGACAAGCCCUCUCUUAAUGCAACCAGUAGCCCUAAAGCAAACACUUCUAAUGCACAACGUCCUAAACUGGUAGAACAGAAUAGGACUACAGAUACAGACCCUAUUGCCAAGAUGGCUGCCACCCCUGAGAGCAAGUUGGAAGCCUAUACAGCUGUGAAUUCUGGAGUUGAUCGACGUAGAACUCAGGACCUUUCACAAUCGGGUCUGCCUGUGAUGGAUGGUUUUUCCGACAGUUUGGCCCAUCAAGGCAUGGAUACGUUCAACUUGGAUGAUACCCUUGAUUUGAAGGUGAAAUCUUUGAUCACUUCAACCCCAAUGCCUUCAAAAGAAGAGGGCAAAAUCUUAGGGGGAGUGAAAAAACUGUAUGAGGAUGGUCCCAUUAAACCGGAUGGUCAAGUGCCGUCUGAGGUCCCAUCGAACCCCGUCUGUGACCGGAAAACUUUCAUGGAGCUUGUAGCUGCAAAAUCCCUUUUGCCUCCUUUGAAAACUGCAUCCCAGUUGUUCAAACACAAGACAGCCUCCGCGCUUCCAGGAAGGUUUGAGGCGCGGCCAUUCGGACAGAUUAUGACGAGACAAAGAGCAGAGGCUCUUAGAAAUACUGCUGCUGCUGCUGCUGCGGAUCCUCCACAGACUGCAGGAAUACCAAGCUCAUGCAAGUUACGUGCAACAACAGGAUCCAAGCAACCCAAUUCCGGCUUGCAGAGGCCGCAGUUGAGUGGAAUACCGACCGGGAUCCAGAGAGCUGCGACAGGUCUCAGACCACUAUCCAUGAGAAACGACACAUCAUCUUCUUCAAAGCAGCCAUUAACCAGAGGUGAACCUUUGCCACUAGCAAAGAGGAAGAAAAUGGAUACCACCUUCUCAAAUGGUAAUGCUGAAGCCUCAAAAUCUUCCUGUGAUACUGCAAACGGAAUCAAAAACCUCAAACGGCCCACAACCACUAAGAGAGCUUUGCCAGCCAAAAUCCAAAGGAAAGCUGCAGUGCUAGCCAGUACUCCAGCUGAAAUCCCACCAUCCUGUGCUGCUGUUAGCGGAGCCAAAGCCCUGAAACUGCCUGCGACCAGCCAUAGAACGCCGUUUGCUAAACCUAAAAGCCGUGGCUGCGCCAACUGUGCUGCGCUACAACAGCAACUGAAAAUGGCGUCGGAAGAAAUAAGGAGACUAAAAGAAGGUCAGGGGUUCCCAACCCCCGGUCCGCUGACCGGUACCGGGCUGCGGAGGUGUUACUGCCGGGCCGCGAAAUAGCUAGCUGCUGAAGAAAAGUAAAGAAGAAGAAGAAUGCUAGAAUAUACAGAACAUAAUAUAACAAUUGUUUAUUAAUGAAUGACAACUUGUGUUUUUAAAUUGUUUGUUCAAUAAAGUGCCAUGUAAUUUUAAUACAAAAAAAAGAAGGUGUGGUGAACUUAACAUUUUGCCCGCUUGGUUGCACCAUAACCCGGGGUCUGUCUCUCUGUAUAUCUGCCGGCGAACAUCCUUUUACGUUGUAGCUCUAAACGUCACUUCCUUUCCUGACUUAAAUGCCCGGCAAGGCUGUUGCACGCAUUUAAUUUGUAGCCACUUUACAGCCAAACUGGAUUUUAUAACCACCCAAAAGAGACAGACACAACACAGGGUAACUUUCACAAGGACGUAGGUGAGUCGGUCUCAACAUUUGACUACACUUUGGUUUGUAUAAUCUGUCAAUAAUUUCACAAUCUUUUUGUUUUUUUAGGGUUUGGGGCAGGGUUUCCUGUUUUGAAAAAGACACAACGGGUUGAGAGGGAUGAAAAUAGCCCAGACACCGUCUCUCAGGAGCCGGAGGAGAAGAGUGACACUCCCAAACAAGAUGAGGCACAACAGAAACCUAAAUGGAUGCCACCAAGACAUCCGGG